rnacentral:rRNA from 1 species
GACGAACGCUGGCGGCGUGCCUAAUACAUGCAAGUCGAGCGGUCCCUCCGGGGAUAGCGGCGGACGGGUGAGUAACACGUAGGCAACCUGCCUGUAAGACCGGGAUAACUAUCGGAAACGAUAGCUAAGAGCGGAUAGCUGGUUUUCUCGCAUGAGAGGAUCAUGAAACACGGAGCAAUCUGUGGCUUACGGAUGGGCCUGCGGCGCAUUCGCUAGUUGGCAGGGUAACGGCCUACCAAGGCGACGAUGCGUAGCCGACCUGAGAGGGUGACCGGCCACACUGGGACUGAGACACGGCCCAGACUCCUACGGGAGGCAGCAGUAGGGAAUCUUCCGCAAUGGACGCAAGUCUGACGGAGCAACGCCGCGUGAGUGAUGAAGGUUUUCGGAUCGUAAAGCUCUGUUGCCAGGGAAGAACGCUCGGGAGAGUAACUGCUCCCGGGGUGACGGUACCUGAGAAGAAAGCCCCGGCUAACUACGUGCCAGCCGCCGCCGUAAGAC